UACGGAGGGUGCAAGCGUUAUCCGGAUUUACUGGGUUUAAAGGGUGUGUAGGCGGGCUUUUAAGUCAGUGGUGAAAUCUCCGGGCUCAACCUGGAAACUGCCAUUGAUACUAUUAGUCUUGAAUUUUGUUGAGGUAGGCGGAAUAAGUCAUGUAGCGGUGAAAUGCAUAGAUAUGACUUAGAACACCAAUUGCGAAGGCAGCUUGCUAAACAAACAUUGACGCUGAGGCACGAAAGCGUGGGAUCAAACAGG
rnacentral:rRNA from 1 species